GGGUUUGAAUUGCUGAUUUUUUUUUUCUUUUUCUGAGUUUUACAAAGGUAACAGCUGUGCUGCCAUGGGACCCAAGAAGACUGCUGCUGCUGCGGAGGCCGGCGAGAGGAAGAAGGAGAAGGUGACGCUGGAGAUGAAGAAGGAGAUCAUCCGGAAGCACGACGGUGGAAUGCGUGUGACGGACCUCGCCAGGGAGUACGGCAGGAACCCAUCGACCAUCGGGACCAUCCUGAAGAUGAGGGAGAAGAUCCUUGCGACUGAUGCAGCCAAGGGAGUCACCAGGAUCGUGAAGAACCGCCCAGCUGUUCUGGAGGAGGUCGAGAAGUUGCUCCUCAUCUGGAUAGAAGAGAAGCAGCGUGCAGGGGACACAGUGACUGAGGCCGUGAUUUGUGAGAAGGCCAAGGCCUUGCACGCAGACCUCAUCCGGGAACAGCCAGGAACCUCGGCCGAGCCAGAAGUCUUCAAGGCAAGCAGAGGCUGGUUUGACCGGUUCAAGGCAAGAUCCGGAAUCCACAGCGUGGUCAGGCAUGGAGAGGCUGCCAGUUCUGAUGUUCCUGCGGCUGAAGACUUUGCCUUGGAGUUCCUGGAGGUUGUGAAGACGGAGGGCUACGUUCCACAGCAGGUCUUCAACUGCGACGAGACCGGGCUGUUUUGGAAGAGGAUGCCCAAAAGGACUUUCAUCACACAGGAGGAGGCCAAGUUGCCUGGCCACAAGCCCAUGAAGGACCGUCUGACCCUGCUCUUCUGUGCCAACGCAAGCGGCGACCUGAAGAUCAAGCCCCUGCUGGUGUACCACUCGGAGAACCCACGGGCCUUCAAGAAACACAAGGUCGACAAGGAGCGGCUGAGUGUCAUGUGGCGAUCCAACAGCAAGGCUUGGGUCACACGUGUGCUGUUUGUGGACUGGGUCAAUCUUGCCUUUGGCCCUGCUGUCAAACAGUACCUGCUGGACAACGACCUGCCGCUGAAGGCUUUGCUUCUGAUGGACAAUGCUCCUGCUCAUCCUAAAGGCCUUGAGGUGGACUUGUUGGAGGAGUUCAGCUUCAUCAACAUCAUGUUCCUGCCGCCUAACACCACGCCACUGCUCCAGCCGAUGGAUCAGCAGGUCAUCGCCAAUUUCAAGAAACUCUACACCAAGGAGCUUUUCAGGCGAUGCUUCGAGGUGACUGAUUGCACCACCAUCACCCUGCGGGAAUUCUGGAAGGACCACUUCGACAUCGUCACCUGCUUGAAGAUGAUCACCACGGCCUGGAAGGGGAUCAGCCAGAGGAAUUUGAAUUGCGCUUGGCGCAGCCUGUGGCCGGACUGUGUGGCACCAAGUGACUCUGAUGCACCAGAGUCGACAGUGGUGCAGGACAUUGUUGCCUUGGGGAGGACCAUGGGCCUGGAGGUCACAGAGGAGGACGUUUGCGAGCUGGUGGAGGAGCACGACCACGAGCUGACCACCCAGGAGCUGGUUGAACUGCAGUCAGAGGUUGCGCAGGAGCAGGCCUCGCUGGAAGAGGAGGAAGCAACUGAGGAACGGCUGUCCUCCAAAGAACUGAGGGACAUUUGCCAGAAGUGGAAUGAGGUGCAGGCUUUUGCAGAGCGGCACCACCCUGACAAGCACGUGGCACAUGACCAAGCGAACAUUUUUGAUACGACGGUCAUGUCGCCUCUCAGGGAGCUGCUGAAAAGGCGGAUGAAGCAGCAGACCAUGGACAGGUUCCUCAGCAAGAAGCAAAGAGUGGAAGAGGAACCUUCUUCGAGUGGUCCCCCGGAGUCUUAGAAAAUGUAAUGUACCCUUUUUUGAUUUUUAAAUGUUUUUCCUGUCGUGUUUAGAAACUUAAUUUAUUGUUCCUUCAAUUUUUUAUAUGCUCUUUAAAGUAUGUGUGACUUUAAAGAGCAGUUAAUAAACUCUUGUUGUACCAAAUUUGGCUUUGAUUGGACUUUUUUUGACCAUAGGAACGCAUUAAUUGGAUUUCAAUGCAUUCCUAUGGGAUUUCGUGCUUCGCAAGACGAAAAAUUCGCUAGACGAAAAAACUCGCGGAACGAAUUAAUUUCGUCUUGCGAGGCACCACUGUA